AUUGAACGCUGGCGGCAGGCCUAACACAUGCAAGUCGAGCGGAUGAGGGGAUUUUGCUCUUGGAUUCAGGGGCGGAGGGGUGUAUAACGCCUAUAAACUUCCCUGGUCGCGGGGGUUACCGUCGGAAACCGUGGCCUAUACCCGAUAUCGUCUUGCGGGGGAACUUGUGGGUUCUUCGGACUUCACGUUAUCGGAUGUGCAUAGGCCGCCUUAGGUAGUUGUUGGGGUAAAGGCGUACCACGGCGACGAUCCGUAACUGGUCUGAGAGGGUGAUCAGUCACACUGGAACUGAGACACGGUCCAGACUCCUACGGGAGGCAGCAGUGGGGAAUAUUGGACAAUGGGCGAAAGCCUGAUCCAGCCAUGCCGCGUGUGUGAAGAAGGUCUUCGGAUUGUAAAGCACUUUAAGUUGGGAGGAAGGGCAGUAAGUUAAUACCUUGCUGUUUUGACGUUACCAACAGAAUAAGCACCGGCUAACUUCGUG
rnacentral:rRNA from 1 species